CCUACGGGUGGCAGCAGUGGGGAAUAUUGGACAAUGGGCGAAAGCCUGAUCCAGCCAUGCCGUGUGUGUGAAGAAGGCCUUCGGGUUGUAAAGCACUUUCAGUGGGGAAGAAAGCCUUGGGGCUAAUACCCUCGAGGAAGGACAUCACCCACAGAAGAAGCACCGGCUAACUCCGUGCCAGCAGCCGCGGUAAUACGGAGGGUGCGAGCGUUAAUCGGAAUUACUGGGCGUAAAGCGCGCGUAGGCGGUCUGAUAAGCCGGUUGUGAAAGCCCCGGGCUCAACCUGGGAACGGCAUCCGGAACUGUCAGGCUAGAGUGCAGGAGAGGAAGGUAGAAUUCCCGGUGUAGCGGUGAAAUGCGUAGAGAUCGGGAGGAAUACCAGUGGCGAAGGCGGCCUUCUGGACUGACACUGACGCUGAGGUGCGAAAGCGUGGGUAGCAAACAGGAUUAGAUACCCCAGUAGUC
rnacentral:rRNA from 1 species